AACGAACGCUGGCGGCAUGCCUAACACAUGCAAGUCGAACGAGACCUUCGGGUCUAGUGGCGCACGGGUGCGUAACGCGUGGGAACCUGCCCUUAGGUUCGGAAUAACUCUCCGAAAGGGGUGCUAAUACCGGAUAAUGUCUUCGGACCAAAGAUUUAUCGCCUUUGGUUGGGCCCGCGUUGGAUUAGCUUGUUGGUAGGGUAAAAGCCUACCAAGGCGACGAUUCAUAGCUGGUCUGUGAGGAUGCUCAGCCACACUGGGACUGAGACACGGCCCAGACUCCUACGGGAGGCAGCGAAGGGUAAUAUUGGACAAUGGGCGAAAGCCUGAUCCAGCAAUGCCGCGUGAGUGAUGAAGGCCUUAGAGUUGUAAAGCGCUUUUACCCGGGAUGAUAAUGACAGUACCGGGAGAAUAAGCUCCGGCUAACUCCGUG
rnacentral:rRNA from 1 species